rnacentral:rRNA from 1 species
UACGAAGGGGGGCUAGCGUUGCUCGGAAUGACUGGGCGUAAAGGGCGCGUAGGCGGCGACCACCGUCAGAUGUGAAAUUCCUGGGCUUAACCUGGGGGGCUGCAUUUUGAUACGUGGUUGCUUGAGUGCGGAAGAGGGUCGUGGAAUUCCCAGUGUAGAGGUGAAAUUCGUAGAUAUUGGGAAGAACACCGGUGGCGAAGGCGGCGACCUGGUCCGUGACUGACGCUGAGGCGCGAAAGCGUGGGGAGCAAACAGG